GGGAAAGAUAGGCAAAUUUACUAAAAAGUAAAGAUGCAAAGCUACAGGUCUAAGGGAAUAAGUACUUAGAUGGCUAGGUUGCAAAA
rfam:Bacillus sp. B14905 1101159007448, whole genome shotgun sequence.